rnacentral:rRNA from 1 species
GACGAACGCUGGCGGCAUGCCUAACACAUGCAAGUCUAGGGGUAGCAAUACCACUGGCGCACGGGUGAGUAACACGUAGGUUAUCUGCCCCCAUUACAGACAUAACCCCGGGAAACCGGGCUAAUAUCUGAUGAGGUCGCGAGAUCAAAGCUUCGGCGGAUGGGGAUGAGCCUGCGGCUGAUUAGCUAGUUGGUGAGGUAAUGGCUCACCAAGGCGACGAUCAGUAGCUGGUCUGAGAGGACGAACAGCCACACUGGAACUGAGACACGGUCCAGACUCCUACGGGAGGCAGCAGUGAGGAAUAUUGGUCAAUGGGAGCAAUCCUGAACCAGCAAUGCCGCGUGUGGGAUGACAGGGCUUCGCCUUGUAAACCACUGUCGGACGGGACGAAAGGAGGCCUCGGGCCUCUGGGACGGUACCGUCAAAGGAAGGAUCGGCUAACUACGUGCCAGCAGCCGCGGUAAU